rnacentral:rRNA from 1 species
GACGUCAAGUCAUCAUGGCCCUUAUGUCCUGGGCUACACACGUGCUACAAUGGCCGGUACAGAGCGCAGCGAGGCCGCGAGGCGGAGCGAAUCGCUUAAAGCCGGUCCCAGUACGGAUUGGAGUCUGCAACCCGACUCCAUGAAGUUGGAAUCGCUAGUAAUCGCGCAUCAGCAUGGCGCGGUGAAUACGUUCCCGGGCCUU